rnacentral:lncRNA from 1 species
AAAUUGUGCAGAUCACGAAAUGCAAGGAUUUCGUUUUGCAAUGGAUGAAUCCCUAAUCGUCAUUCCUGCAAUAAAAGAAGCCGUAUACACUACCGCAGACGGCACUCCUAUGGAUGUUUUCCACUGUCGAACCACUGUUGGCCUAAAAUUCACAAGAAGAGACUCACAGAGAAUCCCCAGUACAUGCGAUGCAACACUACUGACCUCAAAAUCCAACGGACAAGUAGCUAACAGAAUCCUAGCCGCAUCCCAUCUAUGCAGGCGUCACCUAUGCACUAGGACACAUUGUUAGAAAGCAAAGAUCAUCAACCGAGAAAAAGGUCCGACGAUUGUUUACACUCCAACGAUCAAGUUAAUUACAGGAUGACAGAUAAUAAAUGUAAGAGACAAGAGAGAGGGGUUUGGCUAGGGUUGAAAUUACAUACCUUGGUGUAAAAUGAUCUCACACACACAUGUAUAAGUGGAAAUUGGCCCAAGUGGGGCUAAUAGACCGAACCUAAGAUGUGAUUAUUUGAUUAAAUAGGUCCAAUCUAAUUAAAUAAUCAAUGCCGAGUAGGCAUAUGUAGGACCAUCUCUGUCACACGUAUAUCACGUAAUUUAUAGAUAUAACAAUAAUCUUGCAAGUCUGAGUGUUACAUUCAUUUGUGGGACGGACUUCGAAAUGGAAGUUGUCA